rnacentral:snRNA from 1 species
GGAUGUGAGGGCAUCUGGCUGCGACACCUGUCGCCCCAUGACUGCCAGGGUUGAUUCGGCUGCUCUGCCAGCUAGGCGGUGUCCCCUUCCUCCCUCGCCGCUCCAUGUGCGUCCCCCCCGAAACUGCGUGCUUGGUCAAAGAGGACGGACUUCCACGAACAGAGAGAGACAGGUCUUCAGUCAAGGGAAUACGAGUAGCUGCGCUCCCCUGCUAGAACCUCCAAACAAGAUCUUGAGUGUGGCAGUAGCCAGCCCAACCAGAACAAGUGUCCACAUAAGU